rnacentral:rRNA from 1 species
CCUACGGGUGGCUGCAGUGAGGAAUAUUGGUCAAUGGGCGCGAGCCUGAACCAGCCAAGUAGCGUGAAGGAUGACUGCCCUACGGGUUGUAAACUUCUUUUAUAAAGGAAUAAAGUGAGGCACGUGUGCCUUUUUGUAUGUACUUUAUGAAUAAGGAUCGGCUAACUCCGUGCCAGCAGCCGCGGUAAUACGGAGGAUCCGAGCGUUAUCCGGAUUUAUUGGGUUUAAAGGGAGCGUAGAUGGGUUGUUAAGUCAGUUGUGAAAGUUUGCGGCUCAACCGUAAAAUUGGAAUUGAUACUGGCAGCCUUGAGUACAGUUGAGGUAGGCGGAAUUCGUGGGGUAGCGGUGAAAUGCUUAGAUAACACGAAGAAAUCCGAUUGCGAAGGCAGCUUACUAAGCUGCCACUGACAUUGAUGCUCGAGAGUGUGGGUAUCAAACAGGAUUAGAUAACCCAGUAGUC